rnacentral:rRNA from 1 species
UACGUAGGGGGCAAGCGUUGUCCGGAUUUAUUGGGCGUAAAGCGCGCGUAGGCGGCGCGGUAUGUCGUGCGUGAAAUCUCCCGGCUUAACUGGGAGGGCCGUGCGAAACUGCCGGGGCUUGAGGGUCAGAAGGGGAAAGUGGAAUCCGGGUGUAGUGGUGGAAUACGUAGAUAUCCGGAGGAACACCAAUGGCGAAGGCAGCUUGCUGGGGACGGUACUGACGCUGAGAAGCGAAAGCAUGGGGGAGCGAAACAGG